ACGUCUGAUCUUUUUCUUGAUGAUAUUGUAAGAAAAACAAAAUAUUUUUAAAAGCUGGCAAUAGGAAAGCCAUGUUACGAGCCUUACAGACAUUGAAGUCAUUAAGGUCCCUGAAAAUGGCUAUAACA